GCUUAGGGCCAUACCAGCCUGGGUACGCCCGAUCUCGUCUCAUCUCGGAAGCUAAGCAGGGUCGGGCCUGGUUAGUACUUGGAUGGGAGACCGCCUGGGAAUACCAGGUGCUGUAAGCA
rnacentral:rRNA from 1 species